rnacentral:rRNA from 1 species
UACAGAGGGUGCGAGCGUUGUCCGGAAUCACUGGGCGUAAAGGGCGCGUAGGUGGCCCGACAAGUCAAUGGUGAAAGCUCGACGCUCAACGUCGAGUCGGCCACUGAUACUGUUGGGCUGGAGCACUGUAGAGGCUCAUGGAAUUCCGGGUGUAGCGGUGGAAUGCGUAGAGAUCCGGAAGAACACCGGUGGCGAAGGCGGUGAGCUGGGCAGUAGCUGACACUGAGGCGCGACAGCGUGGGGAGCAAACAGG